GGGGAAUCUUGCGCAAUGCGCGAAAGCGUGACGCAGCAACGCCGCGUGAGGGAAGACGGCCUUCGGGUUGUAAACCUCUUUCAGUUGGGACGAAGCCUUGGCGGUUAAUACCCGCUUGAGGUGACGGUACAUUCAGAAGAAGCCCCGGCUAACUACGUGCCAGCAGCCGCGGUAAUACGUAGGGGGCAAGCGUUGUCCGGAAUCAUUGGGCGUAAAGCGCGUGUAGGCGGCUUGGUAAGUCCGCUCUGAAAGCCCGGGGCUCAACCCCGGGAGGCGGGUGGAUACUGUCAAGCUCGAGUCCGGAAGAGGCGAGUGGAAUUCCUGGUGUAGCGGUGAAAUGCGCAGAUAUCAGGAGGAACACCAAUGGCGAAGGCAGCUCGCUGGGACGUGACUGACGCUGAGACGCGAAAGCGUGGGGAGCAAA
rnacentral:rRNA from 1 species